AAGGAUCAUUACUGCUUGCUAACGGCCUCCAGGAGGGAAACCCCCCGGAGGUACGGGCAAUGCCACCCUUGUCUAUGUAUACCUAUUGUUAUUUCCCUCGGCGGGGCGACCCGCCGCUGGGGACACCAUAAACCCUCUUGUAUGAAGCAUCAAACCUUCUGAAACAAAACUAAAUAAUUACAACUUUCAACAAUGGAUCUCUUGGUUCUG
rnacentral:misc_RNA from 1 species